rnacentral:rRNA from 1 species
CCUACGGGAGGCAGCAGUGAGGAAUAGUGGUCAAUGGCCGGAAGGCUGAACCAGCCAUGCCGCGUGAAGGGCAGGGCCCUAGGGGCGUUAAACUUCUUUUGGGCGGGAGCAAGAAUGGUCACGUGGGGCCAGACGAGAGUACCGUACGAAUAAGCAGCGGCUACCUCCGGGCCAGCAGCCGCGGUAAUACGGGGGAUGCAAGCGUUAUCCGGAGUUCUUGGGGGUAAAGGGGGCGUAGGCGGGGAGGUAAGUCAGCGGUGAAAGGCCCCCGCUCCACGGGGGGAAGGGCCAUUGAUACGGCCUUGCUGGCCUGCGGCUGCCGUGGGAGGACUGUGUGGUGUAGCGGUG